GGGGAAUAUUGCACAAUGGGGGAAACCCUGAUGCAGCGACGCCGCGUGAGUGAAGAAGUAUUUCGGUCUGUAAAGCUCUAUCAGCAAGGAAGAUAAUGACGGUACUUGACUAAGAAGCCCCGGCUAACUACGUGCCAGCAGCCGCGGUAAUACGUAGGGGGCAAGCGUUAUCCGGAUUUACUGGGUGUAAAGGGAGCGUAGGUGGCAUGGUAAGUCAGAUGUGAAAGCCCAGGGCUCAACCCUGGGAUUGCAUUUGAAACUAUCAGGCUAGGGUGCAGGAGAGGUAAGUGGAAUUCCUAGUGUAGCGGUGAAAUGCGUAGAUAUUAGGAAGAACACCAGUGGCGAAGGCGGCUUACUGGACUGUCACUGACACUGAGGCUCGAAAGCGUGGGGAGCAAAC
rnacentral:rRNA from 1 species